rnacentral:lncRNA from 1 species
GAUGAGUGGUUCAAGGAGGAGGGUGGGGAGGGGCUUCCAGUGGGUUUUAGGAGGUUAAGUGUGAGCAAAGCGGGAAUUUCCAUGCAUCUUUGGAGAGCCUGGGGAGACUGCCCUUGGAGGGCAACCAGCAACCCCUCCAGGGACACGAGUGGGGAAAGCCCCUCAGUUUACAUCAGUCAUAGCAAUUACUAAGCACCUAUUAUGAGCCCAGAGCUGGGCUUGGGGUGAUAAAAAAUGUGAUUCAAGUAAGAAUGUAAGCUGCUGCCUGACCUCAAGGAACUCCAGUGCUGUUAGAGAUACAGGACAAAUCUCCAUGAAAAGAGGAAAGCAAGACAGAUUGGGUGUAGUGUCUGCGUGGGUGGAAUGGGCCAUGGGUUCAUUUGGAUGGCAAGCCACUCAGUCUCAGUCAAUGACACAAAAAAGUACCUUCACACAGCCUGUUGCAGGCACAGCGGCUUCCAGGGCAGUGAUUCAGGGAUCCAGUGACUUCAUCUCAUGCCUCCCUCUUCCAGGUGACAGAGGGAGAGAGAGACGCUGGAUCACCACUCACUAGUUCUUCAGGGCUUUAGCCCAGAGGGGGCACAAGGUACCUCCCCUUGAGGCCCAUUGGCCAGAACUAGUCACAUGGCCGCAGACAAACUGCAAGGGAGGCUGGGAAAUGGGGGCCACCGAGGUACAGAGAAAAUGUCUGAGAAUGGAAUGUCUCUCCCACAGCCACUUAUUGGUACCGGGACCCCGAAGGCUGAUGGAGUGGAAGGAGUUUUAAAGGGUUGUUGCACAGAGCAAGCAAGUGCCAUGCUCAGGGGGCGGGGAAAAGCCCUGGGAGAGAUUUCAGGAGAAUUGCCAGGCAGCUCCAGACAAGUGCCCCAGGUUUAUUUAUCAACUUCGUCUGGCUGGCCUGGGGCGGGCAUGCGUGUCUAUUGGAUGAAUUCGGAGCUUGGGACUGAGAUUCUUCUACUCUCAAAUCCCGAGGAAGUCUCCUCACACAGUCUCCCUAGAAAGAACCCCGCAGCUCUUAUCUCUGUGGCUCCAAAGGGCGCUAAACAAACCCCACAGUGA